rnacentral:rRNA from 1 species
GCAGUAGCCGCGGUAAUACGAAGGGGGCUAGCGUUGUUCGGAUUUACUGGGCGUAAAGGGUGCGUAGGCGGACUGAUAAGUCAGGGGUGAAAUCCCAAGGCUCAACCUUGGAACUGCCUUUGAUACUGUUAGUCUUGAGUUCGAGAGAGGUGAGUGGAACUGCGAGUGUAGAGGUGAAAUUCGUAGAUAUUCGCAAGAACACCAGUGGCGAAGGCGGCUCACUGGCUCGAAACUGACGCUGAGGCACGAAAGCGUGGGGAGCAAACAGGAUUAGAUACCCCGGUAGUCCCUGUCUCUUAUAA